CUGCGAGGGAAUAAACAGUCUCAUCAGCCCAUCUGCAGCUGUGCCUUUGCCACCUUCUGCCCCCAAGGAGGCCUUUGUACAACUGUCACCCUCAGGAACCUAUGAAAAGCAUUUUUCAUCCCAGACUUGGCCCCAGGUGGACGCACCUUUUCCCUUAUAUUUCACCUCAUGGAACUCCUCUCCCUCUGGUCCAGGGCAGGACCUUCGCACAGUCCAUUCUGCCACACAAGCACCUUUAUGAAGCCAGAAGGAAAAGCCAGGAUGCGCGUGAUGAGUAGCUAUCACAGCCAUUGGUUUUAGAGAAAUAGAGAAGAGGAAAACUUUGAAGAAAUUCUGCCCAUUAACUACAUCUGCUAAUUGAGAAAAGUCCAGUUUUCAACUGUAGCUGUGAGACUCCUCAAUCUUGCUUGGGAAAAAAUAAUGGCCUGUGAGAGGAAGGUCCCCAUCGGCUUCAGUUAAUCUAAUGUUCUAUGUUUUUACUGUAUUUCUGCUGUCCAACAAUAGUUAGCCUUACUCCACACUUCAAUGGGGUCGAAGAGCCACAGUGGCCCAUACUUCAAUGGCCUCUGAGAGCCAAAAGCACUUUCUAUAUCAUCUAGUCAAAUACCUAAUUUCCAGAUAAAGCAAGCCAGGCCUAGAGAGGUUCCAGGAUUUUCCUAAACUCACCUAGCUACUUAGUGGCCAGGCCAUGGUUAGAACCUGGGUCUCCUGGUGUACUCU
rnacentral:lncRNA from 1 species